GUUACGUCCUCUGGGGUGCCACAAAUAUUCAAGGAUUAAAAAAAUGGUGCUGACAUUGAUGUGGGUAAUUAUUCCACCAGAAGAGCAGGUUAUAAUGCCCCAUUGGGCACCUCAGACCACUGAGGAAAAGGACUGAGCAAACUGCCAUGUUGUGAGGCCAGAAGGCGAUUGCCCUGACUGGGUCCACUGAAAACCUCACCAGCUGUUACGAAACCCCACCUCUGCUCUCCACAAUCUCUGAAAACUCUCAAGGUAUUUCCACUUGGGAAGUGGAGACCUACGUUUCUAGGUGGUGUUUUAGAGCAAACCUUCUUGGCUUCAAGGUAAAGUAAAACUGUCUUUUAGAGACAUUGAAAAGACAGUUAAAGACUUUUAAAGACAUUUGAAAGGGGAAAAAACGAUGCGAGGACAAGAUCAGAACUGCACAAUGAAAGUAUUUUUACUGCUGCUGGUUUUGUUGCUAAAGAACGUGAUGACGACUCUAAUUUACAGCGUGCUCACGGCGUGCUGGUCGCCAAGCAAAGCACGUUGCACUCGUUACCUCAGGAUUUUUUUUUUUUUUUACACAGGUCUAAAGGUUUUUGUUCUUUUUUUUUAAUGUGUAACAUAGGCAAAAUUAUCUAAGUCAAUACAUUUUUAAGGACUGUCACCUGUUCUGAUUCUUUCCACCACCAGUCACCUUAGUACCUCCAAUGUUUGAGUCAUAAUCACGACAGCCCUUUCAAAAAGAAUCUUUGCUCAAUCUACAGCUGUCAUGUCAGUCAGUCCACAAUUUCUUUAGUUGGGCUUCUUGGAUCUCCCAUGGAAUACUGGACACACUUCAAAAUUCCCCGCUGGUAAUCUUGGGGAUCCAAUUUCCUGAAGCAGUUUAUUUUAGGACCCUGUUUAAGGGUCAGAGGAGAUGGAUCUGCCUGGUCCUGAAUUUCAGACGCCCUCUGAACAUGCACUGAGUUCAAAUCAGAGUCCCUCGUAAGCGAUCACACCCUAGAACAGUUGGGAUAUGCCAAUACCUACAAACGAAGAAGCCAAGCGCAAUGGAAAGUCCUGCGAUCCAAAUAAUUGAUGGAAGGGUUGAACACAACAAGACCAAGAUGAGAGAAUCCUGUGACUGCCGCUAUGGACAUCAUCCUGGACAGUUGACUGGUUGGUUGGUUGGUUGAUUCAUUCAUUCAUUCAACCAAGAUUCAUUAAGCAUCUAUGGCAUACCAGAAACUGAGCCACUAUUCUGUUAUAUGACUAGGAUUCUUCAAUCAACUGGGAAUUCAUCAAGUUGUCCAAUGAUCUACCUACAUAUCCUUAUCCUACUCACAUAGCUGUCAAUGAAGUUGGCCAAAUGUGUACUUCUUUCUACUUUCAGAACUGUAUUUUAGGUUUCUUCUGGUCACAGAAUGACUCCUCAGUGGGGAGUCAUUAAUCACUAAGAAAGGAGGUUUCCAUACUCCUUCAAACCACAGUUGACCCUUGAACAGCAUGGGGGUUAGGGGCGCCAACCCCGAGCAGUUGAAAAUCCACAUAUAACUUUAUAGUCGGCCUUCUGUAUACGCCGCUCCAAAUCUUUGGAUUCAACCAACCUCGGAUCGUAUAAUAUGUAUUUUGUGAAAAAAAUCCACAUAUAAGUGGACCCGCUCAGUUCAAACCUAUGUUGCUCAAAGGGUCAAGUGCAAUUCCUCUGAAAUUGUCACAUUCCGUGAAACAUUUUUUUCCCCAUGUCCAGCCUCCCACUCAGUACCCAAAGACAGGGCCUCCUUCAUCUCCUUUCCCUUCACCUCGUUUUCCACUCUUGGCACUGACGGUUUUCUUUCUGGAUCAUCUCCUUCCUCCUGGGUUUAAAUGCUCCCUCCCUCCCAGUGAGCCAGCACGCCCUCCCAACUCCUCAAGCCCCUUCACUUCCCUCCAGAGGAAGGAGCUGAGACUGCAUUUGUGGAAGGCAUCACCUUUAUGACACCGCAUAAAGGUCGAGUCACUUUUCACCUGCUCUAACAGACGCGUCAACACCCUGCGAUGGAUUCCACUGGGCUCCCGGCAUCCUUUGGAGCCAGAUGCCAACGACUCUUUCUUUGGAAGUAUGUGGUGCAAUUCAGUUUUUCUCAGCUUUGCUCUGACUAACCUGUGUCCUGUAGCCUCUCAAAGCAGUUACACGAAACUUAUCUUCAUACUGCUGACAGCACAAAGAAAAAGGAAACCAGUAAAACCAUUACAAAAAUAUUUUAUAAUAAAAUCUAGACCCUGUUAACCACUUGGA